rnacentral:rRNA from 1 species
GACGUAGGAGGCGAGCGUUGUCCGGAAUUAUUGGGCGUAAAGAGCUCGUAGGCGGUUUGUCGCGUCUGCUGUGAAAACCUAAGGCUCAACCUUGGGCUUGCAGUGGGUACGGGCAGACUAGAGUGCGGUAGGGGUGACUGGAAUUCCUGGUGUAGCGGUGGAAUGCGCAGAUAUCAGGAGGAACACCGAUGGCGAAGGCAGGUCACUGGGCCGCAACUGACGCUGAGGAGCGAAAGCAUGGGGAGCGAACAGG